rnacentral:ribozyme from 1 species
UGCCCAGCAACUCCUAUCUCUACCUCCUCGUGAUACCGGCCGGAAACUAUGAGCAACCUUAGGGAAGAUCGGGUAACCAACCCCGGUGGGAACUUUGGUCAUAGGCUGACAGGGAAGG